GGAGGAAGUAGGGGCGCUGACGUGCCCCCUCGUCGGUGUUCCUGCGAAGUGCUGCAGACGCUUCAGGUUAGAGAAGGCCCUGAGACUGCGCUGCGCACCGCACAGCGGACUCUGCAGGACACAGGUUGGAGCAGCAGUGAGUACAGAAUGGGAGAGAGAACUUCACCAGCAGAACCACAACCUGAAAUCCAGAAAGAAAACAUUUGGAAGAACUGUCUCAAGGAGAUGUGCCAUCUACUAUGCCAUGUGAAGUGGGCUUUUUCAUCCAAGGACAAGGAGGACUUUAGUUCAACAAAUACUUACUGAGUCCUGCUCUCUGCAAGCCACUAUGACAUUUACCAGUGGCCUACUAAAUACUGAACACCGUAUCAUGCUUGGGAAUGGGACAGAAUCCUGGCAUGGAAGGAGUUCUCAGUCUAGGAGAAAGAAAAUAGUCAACAGGAAAAUAAAUAGAAGAAAACUUGCUAAGUACUAUAGUGGACGUGUAGAAAGAAUAGUCUUCAAAGAGUACUGGGACUUCUCCUCUGGAGAUCUAGACUUCAACAAAGGUUCUUUGAAUGAUUGUCUAACUCAGUGUUCUCUCGGGACUCCUGGACCUUGACCAAGAGAGACUGGAGAUAGUUCAUGGGCCACUGCAGGAUCCACAGCUAGAAAUGAAGUCUGUCUGCCUAUUACCCCAUGCAGGGGUGGGCUAGACUCCUCCUAGGUCCCUCGACACCUGGUGCUGGACCUGUAGCUCCCUCAAAGGCACUUUUGUCUGGAUGGAUACCAGAAUUUUGUUAUUGGGAGAGGAGAGACAAAAACAAGGGCUGUCUUAUGCCACCAUCAUGCUGAUGACUUCCUCCACUCUUUUAUUUUUUAACUCCUUAAUGUUACCAGGAAUUAAAAGGUAAGACAAAAAUCUUUAAAGUGUGUAGGAUUUCAUUAUUUGCAUGUGAAUGUGUGUCAUUAAAUGGAAUCUUUUACAAUUAAUUCAGCAAGUUGUAAUUUUAAGGCUCCUGGGAAAUGAGUCAACUAUUACAGCAUUAUAUCAUGUGAGCACUGUUUUAGGAUUUUUGCUCCUAGAGUUUGUAACUCAGGUAUGAUAAUUUGCUACACAUAGUAAAAAAUAAUAUGGAAGACUUUUGAUACAUUUGUUUGAACAUUUAAACUUUCUAUUAUUUUACAGUUUUUAUCAAUAUAAAAAUGCACUGAUAAAAAUUAGUGGAUUAGUACAUUUUAACAACGUUUAUAUCAAUGUAGCAGAAAAUACACCUAGUAAAGAAACACAUAGGAAAAUAUUUAACUUUGCCAAGAGUCAAGGAAUGUGAAAUAAUUUUCAGGGCCCUGUUUUACUCCAAAAAAUUAUAAAGAGGGAAUAGAUCAUACAGAUGUUAAGGAAGGUAGGUAAACAGACAGUACCCUGUUUCCUUUUAUAAAUGAUGCUAUAAUAUGAAUCUUUAUGUAGAAAACAAAUUCUUUA